UACAGAGGGUGCGAGCGUUGUUCGGAAUUACUGGGCGUAAAGGGCGCGUAGGCGGCCUGCUAAGUCGGACGUGAAAUCCCUCGGCUCAACCGGGGAACUGCGUCCGAUACUGGUGGGCUCGAAUCCGGGAGAGGGAUGUGGAAUUCCAGGUGUAGCGGUGAAAUGCGUAGAUAUCUGGAGGAACACCGGUGGCGAAGGCGGCAUCCUGGACCGGUAUUGACGCUGAUGCGCGAAAGCCAGGGGAGCAAACGGG
rnacentral:rRNA from 1 species